UAUGCCAAGCAACUAAAUCAAAAUAAUUAUCCAAUGAGAUGCGAGAAGCUUAAGAUCUAAAAGUUCUACUGAGAUCUUAUCAAAAUCAAUUAUCUCAUGGUGUUUUUAUUGUCAGAGAGAACAUUUGGACCUUGAAAAUGACGCAAGUAGUGACUUGGUCGAGAAACAAAGAGCGAGCACCCAACUUGGUCGGAGAUACUAUGAAAUGAAAUGUUUUUAAAAUCUGAUAAUGAUCACACUUCUCUUCUGAAUGCCAAAAAGUACUGUAUAUAUCUGCGAUGAAAUUGGAUCAUAUCCAUUGCAUGGAAGAAGGAGGUUGCAGUACGAAAUUGACAAAUUAAAGCGGAUAAACAGUGAUGCUGAACCUUUAAAUGUUCCAAAAAACUUCUGCUCUGAGACUCAUACUGAGAGAGAUGAUAUAUCAUUAGUCAAUUCUGGCUUAAAAUAUUCACCAAUCCAUGUUUAUCAAACUCAUAUGCUAAUGAUUAGUCAGAAGAUGAUGAUGUCCCUUUGGUCUCACUCUCUCGCUGAGAUGACUAUCGAUCUAAAUCUAAACACUGUAGUCAAAGAGUUAGUCAAAAAUUGGGUCGUCUGUUCCUUUCUGAUGACGAAGAUGGAUAGCAGGAAGUGCAGUGUCCUCGUGGAAGAGUCCCCACAAGAACAUGUUUCCAUUUCUAAAGAAUAUUGUCAGUCACCACUUGUUAUUUGACUAAUAUUUAUCACUUCGCCAAUGUUUGGUUUCUUUUGCAGUCAAUAAUAGACACGAUCUCGGUAGUCAUAUCGAUGAAUAUCAGGGAAGACAUCUCUGAUUUAUAAUAAGGUUUCUUAACUUAUUACUGCUGGUUGAUAUUAAUUUCUGAAUGGUUAUAUUUACACUUGACAGGAUGUCUCGCCAGUUCCUUUUAAAUUUGAAGUCCGUUAUUGUAAUCCUGUACGUACGGACGAAACUACUUCUUCCCACAAAGGCAGGAUUUUAAAACAAGCCACACAAACUGCAAAAGAUUUCAGAUGCUCAAGACCUCUUGGAGAUGUGCAUAACGGUGUUACUGAAAAUCUAUGUCACAAAAUGGGUGAUUUGGUUUAUCAUACAUUCAGUAUAUUAAUCAUUCAAAUAAUUCACUUUUGGCUUCGUUUCUGGAACCAGCAGCUGGCAAAUGAACAGAAGCAUCCUAUAUGAAUUUUCUUUUGAUGGCUGUCAAAUCGCUAUUCGUUUCUCGCGGAAACAUAUUAUAUUCAAAUUUAAGGAUGUCUCUGUACACAUCGAACCCGUCACAUGUAAAUAUGGUGGUAAGCAGAGCAUUGAAGAUAUGAAGGUUGAAGUUGCAUACUUAUACUUCUUGAAACUAAGUAAAGAGAAGAGGUUGAGAGUAUGCAUACAUCUUUGAUCAGUCAUAUGCUUUAGCUGAACUAAUGCUCGUGGGAAUCAACAUAUGCAAGAGGGUGGCACUGCUUUGGCAUCACUGCUCAAAAACCUCAUUGCCAUAUAAAGGUUCUUGAUUUGAGCAAGUGCCAACUCGGUCUUGUUCGUCUACUCAGUAUUCUUUAGUCUUUAGCUACCAACGCUAUCGAGGAACUCAACUUGUCAGAAAAUGCUCUUCAAGAGGAAUAUGAUACUUUGGUCAAAGUCAAAUCACAUGGGAGCUAAGCUUAGAUGGUGACCACUAUUUAAUUGAGCUUGAGGUUGCUGAUAGUAAAGAUGAAGCUGAUAUGAUGAGCCAAUAAAACCUGCUCAUAAUGCUAACUGCAAAAGUUCAUCUGAAGAUGAUGUUUCCAAGUCCAACCCAACAUUUAUUCAGGUGCUUUCAUCUGCCAUUACUGCAGCAACACAUCUUCGGUUACUUGAUGGUAGCAACAACGGAAACUCAGAGCAAGUUGUAUGAUACUUGGUCAUUGAAACCAAGAUGUUGUUUGACACGAAGGCAUAUUCAGGGAAGCAUCAUUCAUGCAUCAGUCAUCUGCAUGCUCAAAAUAAAAAUCAUUUUUUUUUAAUCAGUCAAGCCUAAUCUAUGUUGCAAUGCAAAGCCAUGCUGCAAAAAGUGAAUAUCUAUUUAUUUAUUUCUCGAUUGUAUUUAUGUUACAAUAUGAGAAUUUAGCAUGGGUUGUGCGAAAUAUGGGUGAAUUCUGCAUGUUACAAGGAAUAUAUAGAUUCAAAAGGAAGGACCAUUUCUCAAUGCAAAGCCAUGCUGCAAGCAAGUUUCACCCAAUACCAUAUUUUACAGGUUAUAUGUCUUAA